CCCAGACUCCUACGGGAGGCAGCAGUGGGGAAUAUUGGACAAUGGGGGGAACCCUGAUCCAGCGACGCCGCGUGAGUGAAGAAGUAUUUCGGUAUGUAAAGCUCUAUCAGCAGGGAAGAAAGAAAUGACGGUACCUGACUAAGAAGCCCCGGCUAACUACGUGCCAGCAGCCGCGGUAAUACGUAGGGGGCAAGCGUUAUCCGGAUUUACUGGGUGUAAAGGGAGCGUAGACGGCAGUGCAAGUCUGAAGUGAAAGGCGGGGGCCCAACCCCCGGACUGCUUUGGAAACUGUGCUGCUGGAGUGCAGGAGAGGCAAGUGGAAUUCCUAGUGUAGCGGUGAAAUGCGUAGAUAUUAGGAGGAACACCAGUGGCGAAGGCGGCUUACUGGACUGUAACUGACGUUGAGGCUCGAAAGCGUGGGGAGCAAACAGGAUUAGAUACCCGCGUAA
rnacentral:rRNA from 1 species